GUUAGCAGCGACGGAGGACGAAGAAAUUUUGCAUCAUAAUGCCUAUCUCAACUUCACAAACACAGCUCACGUAAAAAAUCUGAGACAUGUCCAUCAUUAUUGUCAAAAAUUAUGGUCCUGUCUCUUUCUUCACUUAACUCUUGUCAGCCCAAGAACUUCAACAUUUUGAUGGAUUUUACAUGAUUUUGUGAGUUGACUUCUUUAUUUUUGGGAUUGUUGACGUCGUUGUAGGCUGGUUCCUAAAGUUUAAUUGCUCUAUAUGAUCCACUGUCUUCUUAUCUCUAUAAGUUUCGACUUCAUACUUUUGACCUAUAUAACCGUCUGAACUUAUAACUUUCACUUUAUAGAUGGUUUACUUAUAAGACCAAGACUUAUAACUUAUAGCUGACUUAUUCUGAUUCUGAUUUAUAAGUUUACUUAUAAGUUAUACGUAAUUUGUGCAAACUCUCUAAUAAUUUAGUUUCACAAAUCUAUAGAACACUUGAAAGUAAGCUUACGCUCGGACUGUAUUGCAAUUUUUCUUUAAAUUUUUGUUUAAGUUUUCACAUUUUUUUGAAAGUCGAAGAAAGUCGGGCCAGCCCGAACCUUUGUUUUUGAAACCCGAGCCCGCCCGAGCCCGACUAAUUUUUGAAACCCGGACCCAAGCCCGGUCGGGCCGGGCUGGGCCGGGUCGGGUAGGUGAAUUUCGGGCGGCCCGCACAUCUCUAAAUUAGUUUCAGUCUACC